rnacentral:lncRNA from 1 species
UGGGUGUAGUCUGAAUUUUAUUUUAAUUUAUUUUUCAUCAUUUCACAGACUCCUGGGACAUUUUAAGUAUGGAUCAAGUCAAGACAAACAUGAGAUGCCUUGGUUGCUUGUCUGUAAAAAGGACCUGUGUCCACUUCAGUGGACCUGCAGGUCUGAUUUUCCCCUGUGCAUCUCGUGUCAUCCGUGUUUGGCAGCUGACAUCAGCCUGGUGUUUUCUGUGUGUCAGUGCUGCUGCGUGUCCCACACCCUUGGAUCAAUGACUGGUCCAGGUGGAUGUUCCUCCUACCCAAGGAGCCUGAUUGUAUCUCACAAGGAGCAGGUCCCAACCCCAUGCGUCCCACUGGUCUGGAAUAACAUUUGGAGUCUGGCAGUCUGGUCCCUUUUGUAGCUCCAGAGGAUUUUUGGAGCAUGGGGAGCAUGGGAUGCAUGGAUGUACGGACCCACAAAACCCUCUGGAGAAUGCUGGCUGUGGAAAAAAGCAUCUGGAAGUUUCUACCAUCUUUUUACCCUGUUUUUUCCUGGCUCACCCUGUGUCAUUUGUGGCCCUGUCCUGAGGAUUAUAGCAUGCAGUCACUUACUGGAAUACCUCCCCAUGCAUCUUCUUGAAACGGAGCCAUUGCUUUACCCAGCUGGAAGAUAUUUUCUCUUCUCCCAGGGCUUUUCCAGUGCAGCAGCACUCCUGUCCAGCAGGAUGCUGCUGCUGCGUCACUUGCAUUCUUCACCCCGACCCAGCAGUAACUCUUUCCAGACUACCAGGAGCAGUCCAGGCACUUAUUUCCUGCUCCAUUCCCUCUCCAAGAGCUUUGUGCAUAGGGCGAGUGCAUCCCCUCUCCCUCAGCAGAGGAGCUGCUGCCAGCUCAGACAGAGGUCUCGGUUGACUGCAGAAAGGAGAAGGGAGGAGCAUGUCAAAGGGAGGUCAGAUCCUGCCAGGGUUUCCUGGGAAAUGAGGUGUUUGGAUGAUGAAACUUGA